rnacentral:rRNA from 1 species
AUUGAACGCUGGCGGCAGGCCUAACACAUGCAAGUCGAGCGAGCGGCGGACGGGUGAGUAAUGUAUGGGGACUGCCCGAUAGAGGGGGAUAACUACUGGAAACGGUAGCUAAUACCGCAUACUAUCGGAUAACCCAUAUGGGAUUAGCUAGUAGGUGAGGUAAUGGCUCCCCUAGGCGACGAGCCCUAGCUGGUCGGAGAGGAUGAUCAGCCACACUGGGACUGCGACACGGCCCAGCUUCCUACGGGGGCAGCAGUGGGGAAUAUUGCACAAUGGGCGCCAGCCUGAUGCAGCCAUGCCGCGUGUAUGAAGAAGGCUCUAGGGUUGUAAAGUACUUUCAGUCGGGAGGCGUUACCGACAGAAGAAGCACCGGCUAACUCCGUGCCAGCCGCCGCGGUAAUUC